rnacentral:rRNA from 1 species
AUUGAACGCUGGCGGCAGGCCUAACACAUGCAAGUCGAACGAGUGGCGGACGGGUGAGUACUGUCUGGGAAACUGCCUGAUGGAGGGGGAUAACUACUGGAAACGGUAGCUAAUACCGCAUACCAUCAGAUGUGCCCAGAUGGGCUUAGCUUGUUGGUGGGGUACCGGGGUACCAAGGCAACGAUCCCUAGCUGGUAUGAGAGGAUGACCAGCCACACUGUAACGGAGCCACGGUCCAGAAGCCUACGGGAGGCAGCAGUGGGGAAUAUUGCACAAUGGGCGCAAACCUGAUGCAGCCAUGCCGCGAGUAUGAAGAAGGCCUUCGGAUUGUAAAGUACUUUCAGCGGGGAAGCGUUACCCGCAGAAGAAGCACCGGCUAACGACGUGCCAGCAGCCGCGGUAAUAC